GAAAACUUGAAAUUAUUUAUAAAUAGAUUUGAUGCAAAAGUUUAUUCAAAUGAAAACUACUAUAAACUGAAUAUCUGUGCCCCCUCAAAAUUCAAAUGUUGACAUCUAAUCCCCAGUGUGGUGGUAUUUAGAGGUGGGGCCUUUGGGAGGUCAUUAGGUCAUGAGGGUGGAGCCCUCAUGAAUAAAAUUAGUGCCCUUAUAGAAGAGACCCAAGAGAGCUCUCUCAUCCAUUCAAGCAUGUAAAGUUACAGAGAGAAGACAGCUGUCUAUGAACCAAGAAGGAGACCCUCACCAGAUACCAAAUUUGGUUCCAUGCUCUUGUACUUCCCAACCUCCAGAAUUGUGAGAAACGAAUUUUUGGACUUCCAGAGUUGUGUAUUACAUACAAGCAAAAAACAAAGAGCAACAGCACUGGAGAAUUCAACAGAUGACAAGAACAGCUACACUAAAAAAAAGAUCAGAAAAGAAAGUAUGCCACCUGCUGUUUAUGGAAUGAAAAGAGGUCCCACAGUGUUGAUCCCUAAUCAUUAACCUGUACUCCAAACUCCAUCUCAGAAUCUGAUUCCACAUAACAGGACCUAUAAUAAAUGCAUCUUCAUCAUGUGCAUUUUUAGGAAUGCUGUCAGAACCAUUUUCACAUUUCUAACAAUAAACAAACUGGUGUGCUCAUUAAUGAGGGAAUUCUGGUGCAUAGCUUCCUCAAUGAGGACCUGUCUUGACAAUGGGAAGUGACACAGAUUCUAUUAAUGUUAGCUUGUUUUUAUUACCCAACAAGUCACCAUGCUUAAUUCAGCUGUCAUUCUUUCUAAAAUAAGAAUGCCAUUACUUGACAUUGCUUUUCACAGGGACUAUUUGACAGCCUUACAGAUCUCUAGAAUAAUUCCGCUUUCUUUCUUUGUAAGUUACAAGAGUUCAAAGUACAAGAGUUUAUCACUUGCUCUUGGUUAAAGUUUAUUUCUUUGUAUUAUUGGUGUGAUGAGUGUUUGAGGGAUUGAAUGAACAGUGCGUUAAACAUUCUAAGUGUAAAAUGUAAUUAUACAUAACCCUCCUCCUUCAUUAACCAACAUUAUCCACCCAUUUCCUCAAAAUAUAAUGUGACCCAAUAAGUAAAUUUCUAAUAUGCCUAUUUUGUAUGUCUUUGUCUGCCUUAAAGAAAAUACAAAUUACUGGAAAAAAGUUCAUUGAUAUAUUUCUUAAAACAUUAAAACAUGCUAAUAUGAAUUCAGUCUUCAAAGGUGAAAAAGAGAUUCCACAUAUAUAACACAUCUGAAUUCCUUUUACAGAAAUUAUUUUAAUUCAUUUAGUAUUUAUUUUUCUUCCCUUUACACUUAAAUUUUAAUGUUG
rnacentral:lncRNA from 10 species